CCUACGGGAGGCAGCAGUGAGGAAUAUUGGUCAAUGGGCGCGAGCCUGAACCAGCCAAGUAGCGUGAAGGAUGACUGCCCUACGGGUUGUAAACUUCUUUUAUACAGGAGUAAAGUGAGGCACGUGUGCCUUUUUGUAUGUACUUUAUGAAUAAGGAUCGGCUAACUCCGUGCCAGCAGCCGCGGUAAUACGGAGGAUCCGAGCGUUAUCCGGAUUUAUUGGGUUUAAAGGGAGCGUAGAUGGGUGGUUAAGUCAUGUGUGAAAGUUUGCGGCUCAACCGUAAAAUUGCAACUGAUACUGGUAGUCUUGAGAAUAGUUGAGGUAGGCGGAAUUCGUGGUGUAGCGGUGAAAUGCUUAGAUAUCACGCAGAACUCCGAUUGCGAAGGCAGCUUACCAAGCUGCCACUGACAUUGAUGCUCGAAAGUGUGGGUAUCAAACAGGAUUAGAUACCCGGGUAGUC
rnacentral:rRNA from 1 species